UGGGAAUAUUGCACAAUGGGGGAAACCCGUGAUGCAGCGACGCCGCGUGAAGGAAGAAGUAUUUCGGUAUGUAAACUUCUAUCAGCAGGGAAGAUAAUGACGGUACCUGACUAAGAAGCUCCGGCUAAAUACGUGCCAGCAGCCGCGGUAAUACGUAUGGAGCAAGCGUUAUCCGGAUUUACUGGGUGUAAAGGGUGCGCAGGUGGCGUGGUAAGUCAGAAGUGAAAACCCGGGGCUCAACCCCGUGGAUUGCUUUUGAAACUAUCAUGCUGGAGUCCGGGAGAGGUAAGCGGAAUUCCUAGUGUAGCGGUGAAAUGCGUAGAUAUUAGGAGGAACACCAGUGGCGAAGGCGGCUUACUGGACCGGUACUGACACUGAGGCACGAAAGCG
rnacentral:rRNA from 1 species